CGUAAGAACAUUACACAAUUAGAAUCAUACUGGAUGUGACCUUGGAGGCUGGCUUUUUCACUCUGCGUUUCAUCUGCCCAGGUUGCUGCAUGUAUCAAAGAUAAAAUCCCCAGACCGAAGACAGCCAUGUAACAGCAGAGGCAGACGCUGGAACGUUGUGACUGCCAUCCAGGGAACACCACAGUGUGCUUGCACCCACCAGAGAGACAGCAUGGAGCCACUAACACCUUGAUUUUGGGCUUCUGGCCUCCAACGCGGAGAUAGUAGCUUUUUCCCAAAGCCCUCCCGCUCAUGGUGCUUUGCUAUGUGGCAGCCCUGGGACAUGCGUACAUUUUGCAACAUAAUAACAACAAAAUUAGGGGUUGUUCCACAGUACAUUUUUUAUUGCCCUGCGUCAACCACAUAGAAAAGUACACAGACCAGAGAACUGCAUCUUCUCUGGUCAAGUGUUUCUUGGGAUCUGUUGCCUGUUUGUUAAUUGGAUGUCUGUUUUCUUAUCGUCAAGUCUCGAGCAUUCUUUACAUAUUCUCAGUGCAAGCUUUUGUCAGAUAAGUGAUUUGUAAAUAUUUUCUCCCGAACUAGAGCUUGUCAUUUUGCCUCUUACUGUUGUCUUUCAGGGAGCACAGCUGUCAUUUUUGAUGAUGUUCCGUGAUCGACUGUUGUUAAUAAACUGUGGGAUUUCAAAGAUAGAGAUCACAAGCAGGCAGAGAGAGAGGAGGAAGCAGGCUCCACGCUGAGCACAGAGUCCGAUGCGGGGCUCGAUCCCAGAACGCUGGGAUCGUGACUUGCACCAAAGGCAGAGGCUUUAACCCACUGAGGCACCCAGGCGCCACUUGGCUGCACUGGACAGCCUCUCUAGCCUGGAGUCCGGAAGAAAGAAGCCAUGGAACGGAUCCCGAGCCAAGCUGUAAAGGGCAUGGAUUGUGAACAAGAGAUAAACGUUUGUUUUUGAAAGCCACUGAGAUUUGGGAAUUGCUUAUUGUCGUAUCAGAUCUCUAUUUGCUGC